rnacentral:lncRNA from 1 species
UAUGACUCUCAUUGAAGUGAAGACCAGCAAAGACACGAGACCCCCUACUGGUCCUUUUUCACACUUCUCCAAACAUCACAUGUCCUCCACUGGCCUUGGCUCAGCACCUGUCUUGCCUCAGGACUUGCAUCUGUGGCAGCUGGCAUGACUCUGCCCAUCAGCCUGGGUCUUCGGAAACCGCAAGAAGCUGCAACACCUCACCAGAAGAUUUUUUGGUGCAUUUCUCUCUAUGGAGUCCCAACAAAUGCAGCUCAACUACACAAUAUGAGGCGGACCAAUCCUUCAUCACGUGUCCUUUCACAAGCUGGCUUUAGCAGAACAUCCUCUCUCCUGUGUCUGCUUCAGCUAAACGUUCCUUCCCGAGUCUGCCUUAGUCCUUCACCUGUGCUUCAUCACUUCAGGAAAACACUCCUCCACGUGUUUUCCCCAGCAAAACACCAUCUAACACAACUGACUUUCCAGAGAACCCUUAAGUUUUCACUUCAGCCCUGGAUUUAAAGCAAAUCCCCCUUUCUAAGACUUGCCACUUAAUUCCAUCUCCUAAGGACCUCACGCCACAGGCUGGACACUAACACAUGCUCUUAGGGGGAAACUCACACAGGCUGUAGCAGCACUUCUGUGUCUGAUUGGUACAUGAGUACUGUGGUAUUUACACAGCCUUUGAGCACCCAGUAGCCCUGGCAUACUAUCCUACAGACUGGGUUCUAACUGAUGUAAAAGUUCCUUCCAGGAACUUAGAGAUCAGACCUGGAAUAUGGGAAGGAGCACUGAAAAGUGGUGUCUUCUGUUCAUAUCAUAGCCAUUGCCCCAAAGAACUCAAAGCAGCAAUGGCUGCCUGCACAGACCUCCACAGGACUGGGCCUGCCAACACGCCAACCACUGCACUGAGAGGGACAAAGGUUACAAGGGAGUUGCAUUCUCAGUGGUGCAUUCACUGGUACAGAGACCCUU